AAAAUUUAAAUAAUUUUUAAAUUGUGUAAAGUGGUUAAAAAUUAUAUUGUUAACAUAUUAUUGUCCAUUCAGUUUGCAAGCGAAACACUUCGAUGUCAUACUGGUGGCGUGCUCAUCAGCAUCGGCGCAAGAAAGGAAGAAGCUUUCCACUAGUUGUAAGUUUCUUGGGACAAAUGAGAAAUUAAACUGGCAUGAAUUUUUACGAAGAAAGGAAAUGAAAAUAAUCAGCAACGUAAAUAUAAAAGCAUUUAACCAAGAAACUAAAAAGCUUCCUAUCUCUUUGAAAGUUCGUUAGUACAAAUGAAAAACUAAAUUGGCAUGUCAUUUUAUGAGCAUUUAACCAAGAAACUAAAAUGCUUCCUACCAAGUUGAAGGUUCCUUAGUACAAAUGAAGAACUAAACUAGCAUAUCAUUUUAUUAGGAAAUUAUAUGAAAUGAGUCAGAAAUGUAAAUAUAUAAGCAUUUAACCAAGAAAAAUCUGUCCACCAAGUUUUAAACUGUCAUGUUAUUUUAUGAGGGAAGGAAAUGAAAUGAAUCAGAAAGGUAAAUAUAAAAGCAUUUAACCAAGAAACUAAGUUGUAACUUCCUUAGGACAAAUAAAAAUUUAAACUGACAUGUUAUUUUAUGAAGAAAGAAAAUGAAAUGAAUCAGAAAUGUAAAUAUAAAAGGUAUUAGGAUCACUUACUCGGAAACCACUCAUCGAGUUUUACUUUCUUCAGCCACUCGAACCAAUUGAUUAUGUCAGUCUACUAGCUAAAGUCUAUAUUAAUUUGGAUAUUGACAUAAGGACGAGUUGCUGCCCCAGUUGUGUACUUUCAUAAGUAACUUUAUGUAUUUAGUUUGCAAAUCUGUAACAAUAUAAUUUAUUCCUUCAAUAGUACAUAUCCACUUGUGUACUUGUUCAUUUGUCUCAACUAAGGUUUAUAACCUGCUUCUCUUUGAACAUUGGAGUUGAUGAAUUGACAAUUAUAACAAGUAUAUAAAGGUUGAAUUUAGUUUAAAAUAUAAUUGUUAAAGGUUACAGUUGUUAUGGUUUAUAUAUUUAUAUUUAAUAUAUUUUCUAUUUACCUUAACAAGGAUUCAAGAGUUCCUUUUUAA